UCUUCUGGGUGAUAGGCUGCUUCCUGAGAUGGAGUGUUCUAUAGCCAGGGACCCACAUCACCAGUUGGGUAUCAAUUGUAUACCUGGAAGAGACAGUCCUACAUUAAGAUCCCUUUGCCUGGGGAAGGAGGACUUUUCUAGUCAAAAGGAAAUACAACUGUAGAUGAAGUCACGCAGACUGGACUCCUUUUGAGAACUUCCUGCCUGCAGAUGAAGCUGCUCACCAAGAUCUGGACGAGGUGAAGCAGCAAGGAGCAGUUCUUGCUCAAUGGGGAUGGGCUCCAGGAAGGACCAGGAUGUAGGACCUUGAACCAGAGAGCCUAGCAUCCAGCUCCAGGGUAUCUGGUGAUGCCUGGGAUGCUGCCCUUAGUGGAUCACCCCAAAAGCAGCCUGAUGAGGAGGUAUUUUUAGGACUGGUUCUGGCAGAGGGAGCCAUGCGCACCCUAUGUGCCUUGGCAGCAUCCAGCCAGGAUAGGAUUCAGGAGUUUCCCAAUAUUUGUACCACUUGUAACCACUCACAAAUCAAAAGCCCUUUUGUAGGAAACAACGUUCUCACCUUUUGGUCUUCAAGCCAAAAAGACAUUCCUUCAGCACUAUAAUUCUCCAAGAAUUUUCUCUGCUUUCAGUGGUUAGGGGAGAAGAUUUUUGACAGUGUUUGUGCUCAUUCCUCUUCCACUCAGAUCUCAUGAAAGCUCAAAGCACACAAAAUUCCUCUCUGCUUCGCUGCAAACAGCUUUACAGCCUCGUGCACGUCCCACCCCAGCUAAUCACACCAUGGCCAAUGCAUUUCUGCUGUCUUUGCAUGUUCCUCCAGAGCAGUUGUCUUCCUGAGCCUGGUGCCAGGAUGCAGCUGUGUAAUGAGGUGAAACACAUUUGGACACCCCUCUCCCUGUUUCUAUGCUUUUGGAGAGGUGAGGACACAGUUGCCGGACCACAACCAGACAACAUCCGUGUGGGGAAGCAUUGGUGGUGGAGAUACCUUGCAGAGCUCUGCAUCUCCACGGAGUGCCCACCACCCACCUGAGACUGGAGAGUACGUGUGUGUUGUUAACGGAUGCAUUUAAUUGUUCACUUACUCCAAAUUUCAAUCUUUUUUCUUUCCUGUAUUAAAAGACAGAGGAAGUGGUCUCUUUGCACCAGCUGUGAAAAUUGUUGCCUUACUAUCCAGUGACUUAGCAAAUAAAACCACUUAGAGCAACUUGUCCUCCUGGCAUGAAUAGUUAUCAAGUUACUAUAGAACACCAUUACUGUUGCUGUCUCCUGGGGAUGCCCCAGUCUCUGUAGGCACAGUAAUGACAUGUUCCUUUUGCUUGCCUCUGGCACAGCA
rnacentral:lncRNA from 1 species